UACGGAGAGUGCGAGCGUUGUCCGGAAUCACUGGGCGUAAAGGGCGCGUAGGCGGCGCGAGUAGUCAACGGUGAAAGCCCGGGGCUCAACCCCGGGUCGGCCGUCGAUACUCUCGUGCUUGAGCACUGUAGAGGCAGGUGGAAUUCCGGGUGUAGCGGUGGAAUGCGUAGAGAUCCGGAAGAACACCGGUGGCGAAGGCGGCCUGCUGGGCAGUAGCUGACGCUGAGGCGCGACAGCGUGGGGAGCAAACAGG
rnacentral:rRNA from 1 species